UCGCUGACUCACCGCCGGAGCGCACGGAACAGCUCAGGAGGAAGGCGCCGUAUGGAGGGACGCCCCUCCCCCCCCACCUCUCUCGUCAAGUGGCUGCUAUGACUACGGGGAGGCCGGCAGCGACGUCUCGCGAGAGCUCGAGGAAGCCACGCCCAGCUUUACCUCGCUGUGUGCAACGGGCAGUUUCUGUGAGGGACUUCGCGUCACCCGUCGCCGCUCCUCGCUGAGGGGACCUCGCCUGACUCUGGGCAGCUUACAACUUUAAAAGGUUGACAGAGAAGGCUCUUCUCCUGGACUCCACCAGCCAGAAUUCCUUGACUGAUGGGAUCUGCAAGAAGCCUCCUUUGCCGGCAUGGGUGGCAUGAGCCUGUCCCAUUGGGGUGAGAUGAUUCCUCAUGUAACCUGGACCCACGCCAUGAGGUCUCUAUAGGAGCCAAGAGGGAGCUCCUUGCCUGGAACCAAGAUAUCACACUAAUCAUUAUCAGAAGACAGGUGCCAAUCUAAAUCUUUCUGCCCCUGUUAAGUGUGUCCUUAGUAGGUUUGUGCUACAUUGAUGUCCAUAAAUGAACAACAUUUCAAGGGCCUUGACUGAUAGAUUCAUCAUUAGAAAUUCCAGCCCUGCCCAGUGUCAUCUACUACAGAGAAGGCCUCUCCAACUGGUAUGGAGAAUUCUCUGGUUAUUCCAUGCACUCAGGACUUUUUUAUUGUUUUUCUUUUCCAUUCUUUCCCAAAUGAUUGCAUUUUUUAAAAUGUCACUUAAUUACAAUUUUACAGGCUAGCCGUCAGCUAACAGCAAAAAAUUAGAUAUUUUGGGAUGUUUAGGCUGCCAUGUAAUGAUCAUCCAGAUUUGUGCAUUGAAAUGCAGCUGCCGGUUAGUAUCAUAAAUCAAUAUAUCCAGUUUAGGUACUAUAUAUGAAAUCUUCAGAGAAGGAGUUUACAGGUCAAACAGUUCAGACACUGUUCCUGAACUAAUCAAUGCACAUUUCAUAUUCAAUGCUAAGAAAUACAUUACAAAAUUAAACAUUAUAGUGGAGUCAAUUAUGAACUCUUUAAUUCAGGGGUCUCCAACCUUGGUCCCUUUAAGACUUAUUUAUUUAUUUUUUAUUUAUUUAAUCACAUUUUUAUACCACCCUAAAAUCUGAGAGACUCAGGGCGGUUUACAGCCUAAUAAAAACAUACAUAUAAAUAGAAAAUAAAACACCAAUUUAAAAAACUUAUUAAAUAAGGCCAAAUAUUAAAGAUUGCAAUAAAAAUAAUAAAACCCCGUUAAAACCAAAUUUAAAAUUCUAGUCCAGUCCUGCGCAAAUAAAGAGAUGUGUUUUAAGCUCGCGGCGAAAGGUUCGAAGGUCAGAAAGUUGACGAAGACCUGGGGGAAGUUCGUUCCAGAGGGUGGGAGCCCCCACAGAAAAGGCCCUCCCCCUGGGGUCGCCAGUCGGCACUGCCUGGCUGACGGCACCCUAAGGAGUCCUUCCCUGUGAGAGCACACGGGUCGGUGGGAGGCAAUCGGUGGCAGCAGACGGUCCCGUAGAUAACCCGGCCCUAUGCCAUGGAGCGCUUUGAAGAUAGUUACCAAAACUAUCUAUCUUGAAGACUUGUGGACUUCAACUUCCCAGAGUUCCUCAGCCAGCUUUGCUGGCUGAGGGACUCUGGGAGUUGAAGUCCACAAGCCUUAAAGAGACCAAGGUUGGAGACCCCUGCUUUAAUUUGUAGCAGGCCUAAGAUGCCACAUUGGAUUGUUAACGGGAUUAUCAUUCAUUUUAACAACUUCUUCAAGCUUAUUUUAUGUAUUUAUGAGAUUUUUUUUAUCCCACCUUUAUUAUUUUGUAAGUAAUUCAAGGCAGCAAACAUAAUACAGUACUCCUCCCUCUUCCUACUUUCCCCACAACAACAGCCCUGUGAGCUGGAUUGGGCUAAGAGAGAGCGCCGAAGACUGAGCCAAAGUCGCCUGGUCAGUUUUCAUGCCUAAGGCAGGACUAGAAUUCACUGUCUC